rnacentral:hammerhead_ribozyme from 1 species
AUGUAUCUGACGAGUCCCGAAUAGGACGAAACGCGCGUCAAACUGGAU